AAGGAUGGGCAUGCGUGACAUUAGCUAGUUGGAGAGGUAACGGCUCACCAAGGCUACGAUGUCUAGGGGUUCUGAGAGGAAGAUCCCCCACACUGGUACUGAGACACGGACCAGACUCCUACGGGAGGCAGCAGUGAGGAAUAUUGGUCAAUGGGCGAGAGCCUGAACCAGCCAUCCCGCGUGCAGGAAGAAUGCCCUAUGGGUUGUAAACUGCUUUUUCGCAUGAAGAACACUCCGGACGUGUCUGGAGCUGACGGUAAUGCGUGAAUAAGCACCGGCUAACUCCGUGCCAGCAGCCGCGGUAAUACGGAGGGUGCAAGCGUUAUCCGGAUUUAUUGGGUUUAAAGGGUGCGUAGGCGGUAAUAUAAGUCAGUGGUGAAAUCCUGCAGCUCAACUGUAGAACAGCCAUUGAAACUGCAUUACUUGAGUAAUCUUGAGGUAGGCGGAAUGUGUAGUGUAGCGGUGAAAUGCUUAGAUAUUACACAGAACACCGAUUGCGAAGGCAGCUUACUAAGGAUUUACUGACGCUGAUGCACGAAAGCGUGGGGAUCAAACAGGAUUAGAUACCCUGGUAGUCCACGCCGUAAACGAUGAUAACUCGCUGUUGGCGAUACACAGUCAGCGGCUUAGCAAAAGCAUUAAGUGAUCCACCUGGGGAGUACGGCCGCAAGGCUGAAACUCAAAGGAAUUGACGG
rnacentral:rRNA from 1 species